CCCAAAUCGGGCUUUCAAAAACAGAAAGAAAGGAAUGAAAAAGAAAGGAGGCAGAAUGAGGGGAUGCAGCUGAUGACUGCUUUCUUUCCAAAAGUUUCAGAAACAACCAGUGGUUCUGACACACGACCAGCAGUACUAGCAGCACUGGCCAGUCCUGGAUGCUGUUCUGGAGAUGAGGCUGAGACUGAGAGCAGAAAUGAGGAAAGACGAGAAAGUUCUGCACUUGAUGCAGAAGACAAGGCAGGGUGCGAGUCUGAUGAUGUGAGAGAAGGUGAGCUCAUAGAGGCAACUUUAAGUUAUUACCAACAAUCAUGUGCUAUAGCAGUUUCAACUGAAAUGAGCAGCAGUCUACUAUUAUCAUACUACUAUCA